rnacentral:rRNA from 1 species
UGUUACUGCGAAGGGGGGACGGAGAAGGCUAUGUUGGCCGGGCGACGGUUGUCCCGGUUUAAGCGUGUAGGUGUGUGUUCCAGGUAAAUCCGGUUCACUUUAACACUGAGGCGUGAUGACGAGGCACCACGGUGCUGAAGCAACAAAUGCCCUGCUUCCAGGAAAAGCCUCUAAGCCUCAGGUAACAUCAAAUCGUACCCCAAACCGACACAGGUGGUCAGGUAGAGAAUACCAAGGCGCUUGAGAGAACUCGGGUGAAGGAACUAGGCAAAAUGGUGCCGUAACUUCGGGAGAAGGCACGCUGACAGGUAGGUGAAGUGGUUUACCCAUGGAGCUGAAGUCAGUCGAAGAUACCAGCUGGCUGCAACUGUUUAUUAAAAACACAGCACUGUGCAAACACGAAAGUGGACGUAUACGGUGUGACGCCUGCCCGGUGCCGGAAGGUUAAUUGAUGGGGUCAGCGCAAGCGAAGCUCCUGAUCGAAGCCCCGGUAAACGGCGGCCGUAACUAUAACGGUCCUAAGGUAGCGAAAUUCCUUGUCGGGUAAGUUCCGACCUGCACGAAUGGCGUAAUGAUGGCCAGGCUGUCUCCACCCGGGACUCAGUGAAAUUGAACUCGCUGUGAAGAUGCAGUGUACCCGCGGCAAGACGGAAAGACCCCGUGAACCUUUACUAUAGCUUGACACUGAACACUGGUCCUUGAUGUGCAGGAUAGGUGGGAGGCUUUGAAGUGUGGACGCCAGUCUGCAUGGAGCCAUCCUUGAAAUACCACCCUUUAAUGGCUGGUGUUCUAACGUGGGCCCGUGAACCGGGUUGCGGACAGUGUCUGGUGGGUAGUUUGACUGGGGCGGUCUCCUCCUAAAGAGUAACGGAGGAGCACGAAGGUUGGCUAAUCCUGGUCGGACAUCAGGAGGUUAGUGCAAUGGCAUAAGCCAGCUUGACUGCGAGCGUGACGGCGCGAGCAGGUGCGAAAGCAGGUCAUAGUGAUCCGGUGGUUCUGAAUGGAAGGGCCAUCGCUCAACGGAUAAAAGGUACUCCGGGGAUAACAGGCUGAUACCGCCCAAGAGUUCAUAUCGACGGCGGUGUUUGGCACCUCGAUGUCGGCUCAUCACAUCCUGGGGCUGAAGUAGGUCCCAAGGGUAUGGCUGUUCGCCAUUUAAAGUGGUACGCGAGCUGGGUUUAGAACGUCGUGAGACAGUUCGGUCCCUAUCUGCCGUGGGCGCUGGAAGAUUGAGGGGGGCUGCUCCUAGUACGAGAGGACCGGAGUGGACGCAUCACUGGUGUUCGGGUUGUCAUGCCAAUGGCACUGCCCGGUAGCUACAUGCGGAAGAGAUAAGUGCUGAAAGCAUCUAAGCACGAAACUUGCCCCGAGAUGAAUCUUCCCUGAGCCUUUAAGGCUCCUGAAGGAACGUUGAAGACGACGACGUUGAUAGGCCGGGUGUGUAAGCGCAGCGAUGCGUUGAGCUAACCGGUACUAAUGAACCGUGAGGCUUAACCUUACAACGCCGAAG